rnacentral:rRNA from 1 species
UACAGAGGAGCCAAGCGUUGUCCGGAUUGACUGGGCGUAAAGCGCACGCAGGUGGAUGCGCGCGUGGGGUGUGAAAUCUGGCCGCUUAACGGCCAGGCGCCAUCCCAUACGGCGCGUCUGGAGUGAUGCAGAGGUCGAUGGAAUUGCCGGUGUAGUGGUGAAAUGCGUAGAGAUCGGCAGGAACACCCAGGGGGAAACCAGUCGACUGGGCAUCUACUGACGCUGAGGUGCGAGAGCGUGGGGAGCGAACGGG